ensembl:ncRNA lncRNA:CR46196 long non-coding RNA:CR46196
ACAUGUCAUACCCCCCGUUAGAGGGAAGUAUGGAAAACAAGUCCAAGAGCGUCGGGACCAUAAAGAUGAGCACAAGAUUAGCAACGUUACCAGUCGUUGUUGGCAUCUCGGAGAAUUGGAGUUCGAUUCCUUUGUUUUCGGAUUCCGCACAGCUGCCAAAUUGCUGGUGCAGCGCAGCGUCAAGUGAGCUCGAGCGCAUAAAUGUUUUUUACGAGCACUACGCCCAUCCCACCUCACCCCCCCCCCCCUGCGAGGAUAAUCGCGGUCCUUUAUGGAGCAGCCUCUGUGUGUGCGCCUUUUGAUGUGUAACGCGUGCCCGGCCACUGGGGUCGAUGGUAUUUAUGGGCCUAAGGUCGAUGUGGAAUAACCCGGCACGAUUCCAAGUUCCUAACAAUCGCCCGAGUUCUUGGAAAACACCAUGAGUCAAGGUCGAGAAUGCUGAAGGUCUAAGUACAUAGUAUAU